AUGGACUCACCCUGGCCACCAGGACGAGAAAUCACCACGCAGAACCCUGGGUUUCAAUGCAUUUCAGAGUGUCAUGGAAAAGGGUGUCCUGGGGAAUGUGAAGGUAAAAGCACAGUGUGGAAUGUGGCUACCUCCUCAUCCUCUUCAAAGAGAAAAUUGUCCCUUAAAAUAGCAUAUGUUGGUGGUCACAUCCCUGCAUGGGGGCUGUUGGCAGGAGGACCAACCUCAGGCAUGGAGUGGUGCCCAUGCAGCCCGUGCCAGCACCCCACUCUCCCAUCACUGCCUCUGGAGCCUUCACCUGCAUUUGCUUUUGCAGCUAUAGUGGAAGGACAUUGCCCAUUCUGUUCCCUACUGACAGCUGGGAGACCCAGACUCACAAAGGAAAUUAGUCAUUGCCACACUGACUGCCUAAGUAAGUGCUAAGGGAAGUAUGCUUGCAGAGAAGAGGAGGUUCUUCAGUGAUUAAGGGGGAUUCCUGUGAAUCACUGCUAUGCAGCAAAACUCCACCUAAGGCAAAACAUCACUGCCUGCCUUCUUCCAUG
rnacentral:lncRNA from 1 species